UGAAAAAACUGCACAAAUGUGCUAAAAACAUUAAUGAACAGAAAAAUGUUUUGUUUAAAAAAAAAAACUAUUAUUUUGUUAGAAAAUUAAAUUCGUUGCGGGGUCUCUGGGGUCUCUAGAAACCCCAAACACCAUGAGUGUACAACCCAAAAUGAAGACUGCAUAAGUGUUAAUAGAUGAAAAAAAAAAAAAAAAAAAAUGUGGAGUUGCGAAGAAAAGUGGUCGUUGGCCAAAAAAAGGCCAACCAAAUCUUUUCAGAAUUCCAUGCCAGCCCGUAUGGAGCACACCGCGGAACAGAAAAGACCAAGCUAGCCAUUUCAUCCAGAUUUUACUGGCCUGGAAUGGGGGUGGAGAUCGAUAAAUGGGUAAAUAUGAAAAUAUUCCUUUCAGCUUUGAAGUGAGAUACAAAUGGAUUAUGUUUUAGAUUGUUUUUCUCAUGUACUUAUUUCUGAAUAUCAGGUUUUGCAGUGUGCAGACUGCCAAUUUAGCAGGCUGUCCAUUAAGCAGGAGCCCAAGGACAUCCCAAUAAGUGUUGUGAAUAAGUCUCUGGAACUUCUGGGUAUGGACCUCGUGGGCAAAGUCACCAGGACAAAAAAUGGAAAUGAGUACAUCUGUGUCCUGGUUGACUACUAUACCAAAUGGGCCAAGGCCUAUGCGAUUCCGAAUAAAUCGGCUGCAGUCAUCUAUCGCUGCAUCAUCAACUUCUUUUACAGGUUUGGGGCACCAAAGAGGAUAUUCUACCCCCCUACUGCUACCCUCCUACUUCCUGCUAAAGCAUGUUGGGCGGUGACUUCCUGUCAGUUACUCCCUGUAGCUGCAAGAAGCAAUAAUUUCACAGACAGUAGUUUCAAGACCAAGACAAGAGCAACAACCAGAGGAUUUUUCAUGUGAAUUUCGUAGACCACUGGACCAGAAACUUCCCCGGCAGGAGAAACCAAAAAGGGUCAUCGUUGUGUUGCAUAUGAAGAAUGGCUCCUACAAACGUUAUAGCCGUAUUUAAAUUUCUGUCCAAAGAUGAAAUCAGGAUAACUGGUCCACUCAUAGUUUUGUUAUUGGGUUUUCAAAUAAUAAUGGAUAUAAAAUUUUCAUGCCCAUGUAGUCUUUGGUGGAAUCAAUUCACAGCAGCUUUCAUCUAUUUGGUACCUGCUGCCUUUGUUACUCUUAUAAUGUUCCUAUUUCUACUGUAUAGAGUACAGAAGACCAACAAAACAUCUGAAGCACAAGACGGCACAACACAUUCCACAUCUCAGUCUAAAGAAACUGAGCUAAAUUGUUCUACAUUCUGUUUUUGUCUGGUUCCGUCUGUGGUGUGGCUCUGCAUAUUUUUCAUUGAUGGAGAUUAUAUUGCAUGUGGACUUACAUACUGGAAUGGACACUAUGCUUGUGAUAAGCAACUACAUCCAAAUUGUAUAAACUGGUGCAAACCUACACGAUUCAGCCCAGAAACAAAUGACACUGAGCUAUAUGUGCAAACACAGAAGUAUAUUAAUGGAUCAAAGGUUACAGGUUAUAUUCUGGCUCUUCUCUCCUGCAUUACAGCAAUUUGUUUGACUGUUUUCAACAUCAAAAAAGAUGAAGAGAGUAGGGAACAGCAAGCCCCACCAGUCAAUGUGAAUAAUAGUAGAGCCAGUGGCUCAACACACUCUGUGGAUAAUACAGACCAACGAAGCCCUACAGUGAAUAGGCCACAACAGAUGCAAAGCAAUGACAGCAAUGACCAGAUUAACUCUGCACACCCUGAGAACCACCCCCUUUGCCAUGAUUCAAGAGUUUAAAUUGAGAGAAAUCACAACCUGCUCUGAAAAAAAACUGAUCUUAGAAUUAUAAUUAUAAAUAAUUUACUGUUUCUGUGUCACUUAAUGUAGUUUUGAAGGUUUUUUUUUUCUUUUUCUUUUUUUAUGUCUGUUCUGCUGUUUGAGAUCCAUUUGAUUUGUGAGUGUGCGUUUUAAUUUCUCAUGUUUCAAUUCAUUAACUGUUUUUGUUGUUGUAACUAAUCAUCCUAUUUGAUAAUAGGUUAUCAAAGUGCUUUG